UGGGGAAUAUUGCACAAUGGAGGGAACUCUGAUGCAGCAACGCCGCGUGAGUGAUGAAGGAAUUCGUUUCGUAAAACUCUGUUCUAUGGGAAGAAAAGGACUGUACCAUAGGAGAAAGCUCCGGCUAAAUACGUGCCAGCAGCCGCGGUAAUACGUAUGGAGCGAGCGUUGUCCGGAAUUAUUGGGCGUAAAGGGUGCGCAGGCGGCUUUACAAGUUGGAUGUGAAAUAUUGUGGCUCAACCACAAACGUGCAUCCAAAACUGCAAAGCUUGAGUUAAGGAGAGGUAAGUGGAAUUCCUGGUGUAGCGGUGGAAUGCGUAGAUAUCAGGAGGAAUACCGGUGGCGAAGGCGACUUACUGGACUUAAACUGACGCUCAGGCACGAAAGCGUGGGGAGCAAACAGG
rnacentral:rRNA from 1 species